rnacentral:tRNA from 2 species
GGGCCCGUAGCUCAGUUUGGCUAGAGCACCUGUUUUGCACUCAGGAGGUCGCUGGUUCGAGCCCAGUCGGGUCCA